ACUUCUGGCACGUUUUUACACGUUGUGGUAUGGCGGGCCCGCCAUAGUUGUGGUAGAAGUGGAAGACGUGCCAGCUGGUGAAGUUGUGGAAGAAGUCAGGCAGACAAACUUAUGGUCGUUUGCCUCGCUGUCUCUCCUCCCUUCUGCAUCGACUUCGCCUCAAUGUGGCCUUCACCCCACAGUUCAGACACAAACUAUAGCGUAUGCUUCAACCAGCUCGUGUUCCAACUGCGGCAUGAUGGCAAACAUUCAACACGUUCUCAUCGACUGCCCUCUGUACAAUUCGGACCUCGGAGAGAGCAAUGCUGCAGUCCCAACUGACCCGUAUAAAGAACAAGUCGCUCAGCCUUCUCGCAAUCUUGGGUCCCUGUUCUAACCCUGUGCAGCACCGUCAAUGCCUGCACUCAUUCUAUCUGUUCUUGACGUCUACUAGCCUGCUUGAACUCCUCUGACCUCAGAGCUUUUGCCAUGAAUGUGGAGAUGUGAUCUUCACAGCACUACAUCUCCGGUGGCCGACCGGAUGAACUACUAUCCCCAUCAGUACGACGCAGCCGCGUGUGUAAUACCUCAUUUGCGUGUGUCAUGUGUGUGCGCGAGUGUGUAUGCCUGAUCUUUUUCAUCGUCAGCCCACCCAUAUAGUAACCCACAUGCACUCAGAUGAAAGCGUGCCGGGCGAGCGCAAUGCAUUCUGGACACACGUCAUAGAUGACAUGCAAGCAAACGUCAACGCUCACGUGACCAUGAAAAUGGCUGCGCCCCUCAUCAGCGGCCAAAAGUAAAACACGUAGGUCUGCUAACGGAGACUCGCGCUGCUGACCACCCCAAAGAAUAUGUGAUAACAGUGAUAACCAUGCCUGCGCUGAGACUCACCUCACCGAUGCGAUGCACUCGAAUGCACUCAUACUUCAGAGGGACAUGCUACCAUGUCGUACAAGAAACACCGCAUAAUUGCAAAAUGCGUUCAUCUUCAGGUUCUGUGUUGACGGUAUUGGCGCUAAGACGGAAUAAACAAAGUCACGUGA